UACAGGGGGUGCAAACGUUGCUCGGAAUUAUUGGGCGUAAAGCGCGCGUAGGCGGCUAUCUAAGUCGGAUGUAAAAGCCCCUGGCUUAACUGGGGAAGUGCACCCGAAACUGGGUAGCUAGAGUGCGAAAGAGGGUCGCGGAAUUCCCGGUGUAGAGGUGAAAUUCGUAGAUAUCGGGAGGAACACCGGUGGCGAAGGCGGCGACCUGGGUCGACACUGACGCUGAGGCGCGAAAGCGUGGGGAGCAAACAGG
rnacentral:rRNA from 1 species